CCGGCGAGGGCGGGGCCGUCGCUCUGUGGACCCGGGACUCUCUCAAGGAAAAGCUCCGGUGGGGAGGACACAGCCCAGAGUGUCCUCCGGCUUCACCGUACAGAGGCCAAACCGUGCCGCUUCCCACUUUCUCCAAAACUUAGGGAUGGUGAGGGAAGUUAGAACAGUGGUUUCCGCUGAGGCAUGCGGGCAUGUUCUAUGCGAAGGAGCGCGAGGAAUCCCAGCAUCUCCAAGAUGUAAGCCACAUUCUGUGACCCACCUAUUUCCUGUUCUUUGAAUGGUGGCUUUUGAGAACAGUGCCUAAGGGCUUUCCUUGUAGAGUGAAGCACUUACCUUGCUGAACUGAAUGUAUUAUUGGAGACUGUCCUCUGUCAAAGUGAAGCUCCUGAAUCAUUAGACUUGGCUUUACAAAUCAAAGAUGCAAAGAAAUCAUACAGUGCUCUUAUUAUAGGAGACCAUCGUGUCAAUUACUAAUUCUGUUGUUCCAGAACACCAUCCAAG
rnacentral:lncRNA from 1 species